GCUGGCGGCGUGCUUAACACAUGCAAGUCGAACGAACCUUCGGGUUAGUGGCGGACGGGUGAGUAACGCGUGGGAAUCUGCCCUCAGGAGGGGGAUAACGGUUGGAAACGACCGCUAAUACCCCAUAUGCCGAGAGGUGAAAUGAAUUUCGCCUGAGGAUGAGCCCGCGUCUGAUUAGCUUGUUGGUGAGGUAAUGGCUCACCAAGGCAUCGAUCAGUAGCUGGUCUGAGAGGAUGAUCAGCCACACUGGGACUGAGACACGGCCCAGACUCCUACGGGAGGCAGCAGUGGGGAAUUUUCCGCAAUGGGCGAAAGCCUGACGGAGCAACGCCGCGUGAGGGACGAAGGCCUCUGGGCUGUAAACCUCUUUUCUCAAGGAAGAAGAUAUGACGGUACUUGAGGAAUAAGCCACGGCUAAUUCCGUGCCAGCAGCCGCGGUAAUACGGGAGUGGCAAGCGUUAUCCGGAAUUAUUGGGCGUAAAGCGUCCGCAGGCGGCCUUUCAAGUCUGCUGUUAAAACGUGGAGCUUAACUCCAUCAUGGCAGUGGAAACUGAUUGGCUUGAGUAUGGUAGGGGCAGAGGGAAUUCCCGGUGUAGCGGUGAAAUGCGUAGAUAUCGGGAAGAACACCAGUGGCGAAGGCGCUCUGCUGGGCCAUUACUGACGCUCAUGGACGAAAGCCAGGGGAGCGAAAGGGAUUAGAUACCCCUGUAGUCCUGGCCGUAAACGAUGAACACUAGGUGUCGGGGGAAUCGACCCCUUCGGUGUCGUAGCUAACGCGUUAAGUGUUCCGCCUGGGGAGUACGCAC
rnacentral:rRNA from 1 species